rnacentral:rRNA from 1 species
CGUAGGGGGCAAGCGUUGUCCGGAUUUAUUGGGCGUAAAGAGCUCGUAGGCGGUUCGAUAAGUCGGGUGUGAAACCUCCAGGCUCAACCUGGAGACGCCACCCGAUACUGUCGUGACUAGAGUCCAGUAGGGGAGCGUGGAAUUCCUGGUGUAGCGGUGAAAUGCGCAGAUAUCAGGAGGAACACCAGCGGCGAAGGCGGCGCUCUGGGCUGGCACUGACGCUGAGGAGCGAAAGCGUGGGGAGCGAACAGGAUUAGAUACCCUGGUAGUCCACGCCGUAAACGUUGGGUACUAGGUGUGGGGUCUUAUCAACGGAUUCCGUGCCGAAGCUAACGCAUUAAGUACCCCGCCUGGGGAGUACGGCCGCAAGGCUA